ACAAUGGCCAACGCGUUAAUCUCUGUAAUCCCCACACGAGUAACGACACUCUGAUCAAGUCAAUUGUCACGGAGUUACAACCAGACAUAGCUUCUGUCUUUUUCACAGUUUUCCCCUCCUCCGUUGGAGGCAACAACCCCGACAGAAGCACAGGAACCGUGCAUUAAAGGGGCGUUCUUCACCUGACCCACCCCCUGCACGAAACAUUCAUUCCAUCUGAAACCCUGUAAAUCGCAAGAGGAAGCUCAGACAGAACUGCAAAAUUCCGGAAACACACAGAAAGAAAAAAGGAGAAACAGAGGAAGAGAGGAAAGAGGCGGGGGAGGGCAGAGCCCGCCGGUCAACCUCCAGGGAGCUGAGGCUGGACUGGAGCCGACGGAGGACCCCGCUCCCGGGCAGCGCCAACUCCCAACGCCGCUCCCUCCCCUCACCUCGAUCUCGCGGAUGUUGUUGGAGGUGACGAAGAUGCCGAUGCCAAUGGGGAUGAAGAUGAGGCCGAUGAUGAAGAAGGGGACAGGCAGAGGAAGGAAGAAACUUAUUACUCCAUCUCCAAAAUAGAUAUGGGUUCCAUUUGGGUUUAAACAGAAGACUUAAUCCCAGGAUGAGCAGAAAAAAGCUCAACAUCCAUCUAAGUGACUCUGAUUGCACCACCAUCCUUACUCUGCAUUGCAAGUACCAAAUUUCAUGAUAAAUUCAAGAGAAAUAAAAACUUCAGAUCCAAAUAUACAUAAA